AGCUGUUAAAACUGAUUGCUUUCAUUUUUUCAAUACCAGUGAGCAAUGCCUACGCAGAACGUGUGUUCAGUCACAUGGAGGAUGCUUGGACUGAUAAAAGAAACAGACUCUCUGUUGCAAUGGUGAAGGCUGAGCUUCAAGUCAGGCUAAACUUUCAGUUGUCCUGUACUGAGUUCAAGACAUUCAUUGAAAAUCAGCCAGGACUCAUAGCAGCAGCAAAGAAAAAUACCAAAUACAAAUGGAAGAUUAGCCAAGAGCAGCAAGCAGCAGAGGCACAGGCAAGCACAAGCAAAGCACACACCACACUCCUCAGGUAAGCUGUUUGACACUACACCUUACAUUGCUACAUUCAGGUAUUCUUACAGACGGUGAAAAAUUACAUUAUUUGUUUUUAUUCCACAUAACCAAACAAACAGAAUUUAAUUAUUUAUUCCCCCUUUACCUGUGCCCACUACUGCCCCCAGGUGUCCACAACUAAAAACUGUCGGAAAUAAACCAAAAUAAUAAAGACCUGCUAUUAUAUAAAGCAAUUAACUAAA